GACAAGGUACGCCAAAACGUGUCCAUAUAAUGAAACUGAAUGGAAAGAGAGAUCGACGGAAUUCUUCUGUCAAGGAAAAGAAGUCUAUCAUUGUUUUCUUGCUGAAAACAAAGAAUCAGUGCAAGAAGGAUGUACAGAAAUGACGAUGAUACUACAAGGUUUUUGUCCAAUAUUCACAGACUACGGUUACUUACAUUGGGAUCCGUGCAAUAGAACAGGAUGUCCUAACUCGUCCUACACCAGUGAUAAAGUUUACAAAUACCGUGUGUGUUUUGGUGACACAGACAAUGCUAUGACCUAUGCCUCUGGAUCUAG